GUGGGUAUCUUUCACCCAAAAGCAGAACUUAAAUGGCUGAACCAAGAAUUGGUGAAAAUCUGGCCAUUUGUCAAUGAGGCUGCAUCGGAACUGAUAAAAUCUUCUGUGGAGCCUGUAUUCGAGCAGUACAAGUCAUUCAUUUUGGCCUCCAUCCAUUUCUCAAAGUUGACACUUGGUACUGUUGCUCCUCAGUUUACAGGAGUUCAAAUUCUGGAUAGUGACAGUGCCGGUAUUACUAUGGAGCUUGAUAUGCAGUGGGAUGGUAAUCCCAACAUAGUACUUGACAUUCAAACAACUCUGGGAAUUUCACUUCCUGUACAGGUGAAAAAUAUUGGAUUCACAGGCACACUACGGCUACUCUUUAAGCCUCUGGUAGCCGAACUCCCAUGCUUUGGAGCUGUUUGCGUUUCUUUGAGAGAGAAGAGCAAGGUGGAUUUUACCCUCAAAGUAGUUGGUGGCGAAAUGACAGCAAUUCCUGGAAUUUCUGAUGCAAUUGAGGGAACAAUACGUGAUACCAUCGAGGACACACUGACAUGGCCUAAUCGCAUAAUUGUCCCCAUUGUGCCAGGAGAUUAUAGUGAUCUGGAGCUAAAACCUGUUGGACUGUUAGAAGUAAAACUUGUGGAAGCUAGGGAUUUGAAGAACAAGGACCUCAUUGGGAAGUCUGACCCUUUUGCUGUGCUAUACAUACGCCCACUGAGUGCAAAAACGAAGAAAAGCAAAACAAUAAACAAUGAUUUGAACCCCAUCUGGAAUGAACACUAUGAAUUUGUGGUGGAGGACUCAUCUACCCAGCACCUGACAGUGAAAAUUUACGACGACGAAGGGCUCCAGCCGUCAGAGAUUAUUGGCUGCGCUCGAGUAGACUUAUCGGAUAUUACGCCUGGAAAAGUCAAGGAUGUUUGGCUGGAACUUGUGAAAGACCUGGAAAUUCAGCGUGAUAAGAAACCUCGUGGUCAGGUCCACCUAGAGCUCCUGUACUACCCCUUUGAAAAACAAGAAGGGGUUUCCAAUCCUUUUGCUGGUCAGAUCCAGUUAACUGCUUUGGAAAAGGUCCUCAAGACGGAAUCUAAUGGAUAUGAUGUCAACCAGAGGAAAAAUGUUAUUACGAGAGGAGUCCUUUCAGUAACUGUUAUAUCUGCAGAGGACAUACCAGCAAUGGAUGUGAUGGGGAAGGCUGACCCAUUUGUCGUCCUGUACCUGAAGAAGGGGGAAACCAAAAAGAAGACAAGGGUUGUGACUGAGACGUUAAAUCCAAUAUGGAAUCAGACAUUUGAUUUUGUAGUAGAAGAUGCCCUGCAUGAUUUGCUCAUGGUGGAAGUAUGGGACCAUGAUACAUUUGGAAAGGAUUACAUAGGGAGAUGCAUCCUGACACUUACCAGAGCGAUACUUGAAGGCGAGUUCCAAGAUACAUAUGUGCUGCAAGGUGCUAAAUCUGGAAAGCUGAACCUGCACUUCAAGUGGACGGCACAGCCAAUCUACCGUGAUCGGGACAGGGACCAGUGA
rnacentral:rRNA from 1 species